UGGGGAAUUUUGGACAAUGGGGGAAACCCUGAUCCAGCCAUCCCGCGUGUGCGAUGAAGGCCUUCGGGUUGUAAAGCACUUUUGGCAGGAAAGAAACGGCAUGGGUUAAUACCCCGUGAAACUGACGGGACCUGCAGAAUAAGCACCGGCUAACUACGUGCCAGCAGCCGCGGGAAUACGUAGGGUGCAAGCGUUAAUCGGAAUUACUGGGCGUAAAGCGUGCGCAGGCGGUUCGGAAAGAAAGAUGUGAAAUCCCAGAGCUCAACUUUGGAACUGCAUUUUUAACUACCGGGCUAGAGUGUGUCAGAGGGAGGUGGAAUUCCGCGUGUAGCAGUGAAAUGCGUAGAUAUGCGGAGGAACACCGAUGGCGAAGGCAGCCUCCUGGGAUAACACUGCCGCUCAUGCACGAAAGCGUGGGGAGCAAACAGG
rnacentral:rRNA from 1 species